rnacentral:rRNA from 1 species
GAUGAACGCUGGCGGCGUGCCUAAUACAUGCAAGUCGAGCGAACAGAUGAGGAGCUUGCUCCUCUGACGUUAGCGGCGGACGGGUGAGUAACACGUGGAUAACCUACCUAUAAGACUGGGAUAACUUCGGGAAACCGGAGCUAAUACCGGAUAAUAUAUUGAACCGCAUGGUUCAAUAGUGAAAGACGGUUUUGCUGUCACUUAUAGAUGGAUCCGCGCCGCAUUAGCUAGUUGGUAAGGUAACGGCUUACCAAGGCAACGAUGCGUAGCCGACCUGAGAGGGUGAUCGGCCACACUGGAACUGAGACACGGUCCAGCCUCCUACGGGAGGCAGCAGUAGGGAAUCUUCCGCAAUGGGCGAAAGCCUGACGGAGCAACGCCGCGUGAGUGAUGAAGGUCUUCGGAUCGUAAACCUCUGUUAUUAGGGAAGAACAAGUGUGUAAGUAACUAUGCACGUCUUGACGGUACCUAAUCAGAAAGCCACGGCUAACUACGUG